rnacentral:rRNA from 13 species
GUUUGGUGGAUGCCUUGGCAUCGAGAGGCGAUGAAGGACGUGAUACGCUGCGAAAAGCUUCGGGGAGCUGCGAAUGAGCUUUGAUCCGGAGAUAUCCGAAUGGGGAAACCCGGCCCUUUAGGGUCAUCGUUGUCUGAAUACAUAGGGCAACGAAGCGAACCUGGUGAACUGAAAUAUCUAAGUAGCCAGAGGAAAGGACAUCAACCGAGACUCCGUUAGUAGUGACGAGCGAACGCGGACCAGGCCAGUGGCUUGGGUAUAAGAACGAGAACCGUCUGGAAAGUCGGGCCAUAGUGGGUGAUAGCCCCGUACCGGUAGUGUCUGCAUGUGUCCUCGAGUAGGGCGAGGCACGUGAAACC